CGACGACGUACUACACAUCUAUCUUAUCUAGCAUUUUCGGUGUACUGAUCCACUGAUGCAGCAUCAGGAAGCCUUCAAUUGUCCUUGGAAUCAUAAUUCUUGUGGCAUCAGUGUGUGGCCACUCGCAGGUACACAAGACCACCUUACAUUACUCCUGCUGCAACCGGACGUUAAGGUUCAAUAGAUCCUGUGAAAACAUUUGGAGCGCGAAGGGCCAGACUUUUGCUCGAGUUGAAGGCAAUGUGAAAGAAUGUGAUUUUCCAUGCAAGACAAUCGAAGAUGAACGUAUGACACUGGGUGAUUGUGUGAAUAUCACACAAGCUGCUAUCUGCACUGACGCGGUGGGAUUAAGCACAGAGACACGAAUAUACUACCUCAGCCAAGCCUGCACUCUCCAUGUUUCCUUCAGGGCGACUGGAAAUCGGGGCUCUGCUGUCUGGAUGCUGCUAACUUUUGGAUGCAUUCUCCUUUGCAUCAUCUAGGAGCUAACUUCACUGACACGGUACUCCUCUCCUUUGAUCCUUGUCUUCUGCACUUUAUUUCCAUGCUCUUCCCUCAGGGCUAAACCAUUCUUUUUAUUUAAAGUUUCUUCAGGCACACAUUUUCAGUAAAGUCCGAGCAGCGACAAAUGAGGAAUUAUAUAUUUAUUUUUAUUUUUUUUUUACUUGUCAGGAAUAUUGUUAAAUAUCUUGUGGGAGCAGAGUGAGAAUAAAUGUUGAGAAUUAGUCCCAGAAGUGUUUUUACCUGCCUAAAACUAAUCAUAAAGAACUGAAUAUGUCAUGAUUUCACAGAAAAAUAACAAGCCACUUUAGCAAUAUUUAUGGGUUUUAGUUUUUAGUUUAGUUUAAUUAAAAAAAAUUAAAAUGUUAAUGUUUCAAAUAUCACCAGUAAACUAAUCUAUACUCUGAAUGUUGAAGGAAAAAGAAAUACUGUAUUGGAGCAAGAGAAAGCAUAAUCAACAUUUUCAUUAGCUCACCAGCAAAAUUUUACAAUUUCAGAUCAAGCAUUUUUAACAACUGAUGUUUGUUUGACUGUUGAUGGAUUUUGUUCUCAGUAUUUCUCUUGAUGUUCUCAAUUAACGCAGAAUAGCUUGUCAAUAAAUUAAUUCAAAGAAUAACAUGAAAAAACUAUUUUUAAAUCUGCUCUUUUUAUAUUUCUCUCAAGAAAGUGUGACAGCUUAAGUUUUUCCGACUUUAUGUAGACAAACGUUUAAAGAUUUAAUCAAGAAAAUAUAAACUGAUGCAGUAUGGAUAUUACCGGGAUGUAUUUAUUCAGCUACAACCCUAUCUCCCCAAAAAAGAAAUAGCAAAAAACAAAAAGUUACAAUUAUAUCCCAAAAAAGAUGUGCAGCCAUGUUUUCUUUCAUUCAUUCAAGUUUAUUUAUAAGCGCCAAAUCACAAGAGUCGUCUGAAGAAAAGUUAAAUAUAGUUAAGUUCAUUAAUCCAAUCAGUAUAAAGUUUCAUAUAUAAUGAACCCAGCAAAUUGCAUCAAGUCACUGAAAGGCGUCACCGUCUUUACUGCAAUCCUGUAGCUCUAUCUGUCAUUUCCACCGGACGACCACACUAUCUCAGCACGAAUAUCAAACUGUCUCUCUGACAUCUCAAAAUGGAUGAAAUCCCACCAUCUUCAACUCAACCUCUCUAAAACUGAACUGCUUGUCAUCCCAGCAAAACCAUCCAUACAGCACAAUAUCUCAAUCCAGAAUGACUUCCUAUCUCUGGCUCCUCCAAAGACAGUUUGAAAUCUGGGUGUUGUGAUUGAUGAACACCUGGCCUUUAAAGAUCAUGUUGCCUCUGUUGCUCGUUCAUGCCGCUUUGCGCUGUACAACAUACGUAAGAUCAGACCAUACCUAACACAACAUGCCACCCAGCUCCUGGUGCAAUCUACUGUCAUCUCCCGCCUCGACUACUGCAAUGCUCUUCUAACUGCUCUUCCAGCCUGUACUGUGAGACCUCUUCAAAUGGUCCAGAACGCAGCGGCGCGUCUGGUCUUCAAUCAGCCAAAAAGAGCACACGUCACCCCUCUGUUCAUUGAGCUCCACUGGCUACCGCUAGCAGCACGCAUCAAAUUCAAAUUGCUAACACUAGCAUACAAAGUCCGAGACGGUACGGCUCCCAUCUACCUGAAUCCUCUUGCAAAGGCUUACGUCUCGGCCCGGCCGCUCCGGUCAUCACAGGUUCGUCGACUAGCAGUGCCUACACCACACUCAGGACAAUCCAGACUUUUCUCAUGCAUCAUUCCACAAAUGUGGAAUGACCUUCCUAACACUACCAGAACUGCGGCUUCCUUUUCUAUUUUCAAGAAACUCCUGAAGACCCUGCUCUUCAGAGAGCAUCUUCUUAACUAGCACCUUGCCUGCACCCGUCCCCCCUCUCUACUGUCCACUCCUUGUUCCCUCCUCUCCAUGACUGAUGUCAAUUUGUUGUUGUUACUAUUGUUGUUAGCCUCAAGGGCAAAAUGUCGAUUAUCACUUGUAAGUCGCUUUGGACAAAAGCGUCUGCUAAAUACAUAAACAUAAACAUAAAUCCUCGUACUAAGCAAUAAUGUAGUAACAGUAGAGAGGAAAACUCCCUUUAAUCAGAGGACCUCCAGACGAUCCUGGCUCAGUAUAAGCAGCCAUCCACCAUGACUCACUGGGGAUUGAGAAGACAGAGUAGACACACACACACACACACACACACACACACACACACACACACACACACACACACACACACACACACACACACACACACACUGACACACACACAACA